GCCUACGGGGGGCAGCAGUGAGGAAUAUUGGUCAAUGGGCGCGAGCCUGAACCAGCCAAGUCGCGUGAGGGAAGACGGUCCUAUGGAUUGUAAACCUCUUUUGUCGGGGAGCAAAAGACGCCACGUGUGGCGUUCCGAGAGUACCCGAAGAAAAAGCAUCGGCUAACUCCGUGCCAGCAGCCGCGGUAAUACGGAGGAUGCGAGCGUUAUCCGGAUUUAUUGGGUUUAAAGGGUGCGCAGGCGGAAGAUCAAGCCAGCGGUAAAAUUGAGAGGCUCAACCUCUUCGGGCCGUUGAAACUGGUUUU
rnacentral:rRNA from 1 species